rnacentral:rRNA from 1 species
UACGAAGGGGGCUAGCGUUGCUCGGAAUCACUGGGCGUAAAGCGCACGUAGGCCGAUUGUUAAGUCAGGGGUGAAAUCCUGGAGCUCAACUCCAGAACUGCCUUUGAUACUGAGGAUCUUGAGUUCGGGAGAGGUGAGUGGAGCUGCGAGUGUAGAGGUGAAAUUCGUAGAUAUUCGCAAGAACACCAGUGGCGAAGGCGGCUCACUGGCCCGGUACUGACGCUGAGGCGCGAAAGCGUGGGGAGCAAACAGG